GGGCUUAUAGCUCAGCUGGUUAGAGCGCACGCCUGAUAAGCGUGAGGUCGGUGGUUCAAGUCCACUUAAGCCCA
rfam:Clostridium caminithermale DSM 15212 genome assembly, contig: EJ27DRAFT_scaffold00123.123